GGUGAUUAUUUUCUGUUUAGUUUUGUACGUAGCAGAACUGUAGGCUGUCGUUCGUGGUUUGGUUGAAGUGUUUCUAUUAAUUGAAUAUGAACACUCACCACGCUGCGCUUUGGUCCCCUACUUCCACAGACGACGGCCGUUACAGGGUAUUACAUUAUUCGACUCCUUUAUUGGAACUUUGUAAUAUUUAGAAUAGCCAUGGAGUAGUCUUUCUGUCUCAGAACAUUUGGUUAUCAAUAUAAAGUUUAUCAACUACGAGAACUACACGUUUCCCUUUUAAUCUAUUCUCCUUGAAGAUUGGGUACAGAGCUUUGGCCAUUCUGCAAUUUCCUUCGGAAAUUGAUAAUUCAUGCCUAUUUUCGUGCCAGCAAUUCUUUUACCCAGGCUUUCAACCAUUAUUUUCUAUUUAAAGAAAGCACAUUUGACAAUGACUGGGCACUCAUCUCUCUGUCCGAAACGGUGUACGCGUUCGAUUUGGAUUUUGUCGACAGCUUCGCUCAGGAUCUGAUGCACUAAAAUAAGGAUCUCCCUCACUACACCCUCAGGAACUUCUCCUUUUUCUCUUGGAUACCAUUGUAAAUCCUCCUGGAACCAACAUUUCCUCCCCAGUUUUCAGUUCCAUCCCUCCUGGAGAGGAGAUGGCAGUCAGCAAUACAACAACCGAAGGAGAAGAAGCCCACUUGCGCAGGAAGACAACACCCCACCUUGUGUCCGAAGAGGACACUAGUCUGCAAUAUGCUACAGCAACAUCUACCAGUGACCGAGCAAGUCUGCUUUAUACUACUGUGACAUUUACCGGUAACCAAGCUGGACCUGGGUGCACCAAGAUCAAGUUUGCAAUGACUGGAGACUACGCCCUCUUAGCAGAAUAAUAGAAUAAGAAAGACUGUCUUGAAGAAAAGUUUUUAGUUUUUCUCAUAGUUAACUUACGUGCCUUUCCUUCAACCUGGUGAUGCACUUACAAAAAAUAAUAAUAAUAUCACCCUGCUUGAUUUACAUAUCUUCUACUCUGUGGACACCAUGUCUUCCUGUAGUCUGUAAACAUCAGUUCCUCUCAGAUUAAUGGUAUUAUCUUACUGGGCUAUAAAUAGAUGUGCAGAGGUUUUAGGAUAAGAUUAAUUUCAACAUGUAUACUUGAUAAAUGUGUAAAUGAACAGCUUUCUUGAUUUAUAAGUCAAUAUGUCAUUUAAAAGUUGUGUGUGUAAAAUGAGAAAACCACAG
rnacentral:lncRNA from 1 species